rnacentral:rRNA from 1 species
UAAAACGUAGGUGGCAAGCGUUAUCCGGAUUCACUGGGCGUAAAGCGCAUGCAGGUGGCACAGUAAGUAGGGCAUGAAAACUCCUGGCUUAACUGGGAGAGGCUGUCCUAGACUGCUGAGCUUGAGGAUGGGAGAGGGAAGUGGAAUUGCCGGUGUAGUGGUGAAAUGCGUAGAGAUCGGCAGGAACACCCGUGGCGAAAGCGGCUUCCUGGCCCAUUCCUGACACUCAGAUGCGAAAGCUAGGGGAGCGAACGGGAUUAGAAACCCCGGUAGUCCUAGCCGUAAACGAUGUCUACUAGGUGUCGGGGGUAUUGACCCCCUCGGUGCCGAAGCCAACGCGUUAAGUAGACCGCCUGGGGACUACGGCCGCAAGGUUA